rnacentral:piRNA from 1 species
AGCUGGAAUGAAGGUUGAGACAGUGC